rnacentral:tRNA from 2 species
GCCGGGCUGGCGGAAUUGGCAGACGCGUACGCUUGAGGGGCGUAUGGGUUUCCCGUGGGGGUUCAAAUCCCUCGCCCGGCACCA